GACGAACGCUGGCGGCGUGCUUAACACAUGCAAGUCGAGCGAUGAAGUCCCUUCGGGGACGGAUUAGCGGCGGACGGGUGAGUAACACGUGGGUAACCUGCCUCAUAGAGGGGAAUAGCCUUCCGAAAGGAAGAUUAAUACCGCAUAAGAUUGUAGUUUCGCAUGAAACAGCAAUUAAAGGAGCAAUCCGCUAUGAGAUGGACCCGCGUCGCAUUAGCUAGUUGGUGAGGUAACGGCUCACCAAGGCGACGAUGCGUAGCCGACCUGAGAGGGUGAUCGGCCACAUUGGGACUGAGACACGGCCCAGACGCCUACGGGAGGCAGCAGUGGGGAAUAUUGCACAAUGGGGGAAACCCUGAUGCAGCAACGCCGCGUGAGUGAUGACGGUCUUCGGAUUGUAAAGCUCUGUCUUCAGGGACGAUAAUGACGGUACCUGAGGAGGAAGCCACGGCUAACUACGUGC
rnacentral:rRNA from 1 species